ensembl:snRNA U6 U6 spliceosomal RNA
GCUCUCUCGCUUCGCAGCACAUAUACUAAAAUUGGAACGAUACAGAGAAGAUUAGCAUGGCCCCUGCUCAAGGAUGACACGCAAAUUCGUGAAGCGUUCCAUAUUAAA